UCCCUGAUAGUCCAGUGGUUAGGACUCCACGCUUCAGCUGCAGGGGGCACAGGUUCAAUCCCUGGUUAGGGAA